rnacentral:rRNA from 1 species
CCGCGGUAAUACGGAGGGUGCGAGCGUUAAUCGGAAUUACUGGGCGUAAAGCGCAUGCAGGUGGUUUGUUAAGUCAGAUGUUGAAAGCCCGGGGCUCAACCUCGGAAUUGCAUUUGAAACUGGCAAACUAGAGUACUGUAGAGGGGGUAGAAUUUCAGGUGUAGCGGUGAAAUGCGUAGAGAUCUGAAGGAAUACCGGUGGCGAAGGCGGCCCCCUGGACAGAUACUGACACUCAGAUGCGAAAGCGUGGGGAGCAAACAGGAUUAGAUACCCUGGUAG